rnacentral:rRNA from 1 species
AUAUUGGACAAUGGGGGCAACCCUGAUCCAGCCAUGCCGCGUGAGUGAAGAAGGCCCUCGGGUUGUAAAGCUCUUUUGUCCGGAAAGAAAAGCAUUCGGUGAAUACCCGGAUGUUCUGACGGUACCGGAAGAAUAAGCACCGGCUAACUUCGUGCCAGCAGCCGCGGUAAUACGAAGGGUGCAAGCGUUACUCGGAAUUACUGGGCGUAAAGCGUGCGUAGGUGGUUGUUUAAGUCUGAUGUGAAAGCCCUGGGCUCAACCUGGGAAUGGCAUUGGAAACUGGGCAGCUAGAGUGCGGUAGAGGGUAGUGGAAUUCCCGGUGUAGCAGUGAAAUGCGUAGAGAUCGGGAGGAACAUCUGUGGCGAAGGCGACUGCCUGGACCAGCACUGACACUGAGGCACGAAAGCGUGGG